GUGCAGCAGUCGCGAAAACUCCGCAAUGCACGAAAGUGUGACGGGGCUACCCCGAGUGCCGUCCGCUGAGGAUGGCUUUUCCUCGGUGUAACUAGCCGGGGGAAUAAGGGGAGGGCAAGACUGGUGUCAGCCGCCGCGGUAAUACCAGCUCUCCGAGUGGUAGGGAUGAUUAUUGGGCUUAAAGCGUCCGUAGCCGGCUUAGCAAGUCUCCUGUUAAAUUCAGCGACCUAAUCGUUGAGCCGCGGGAGAUACUACUAGGCUAGGAGGCGGGAGAGGCCGACGGUACUUCCGGGGUAGGGGUGAAAUCCUAUAAUCCCGGGCGGACCACCAGUGGCGAAGGCUGUCGGCUAGAACGCGCUCGACGGUGAGGGACGAAAGCUGGGGGAGUGAACCGGAUUAGAUACCCCCGGAGUCC
rnacentral:rRNA from 1 species